GUCUUUUUAGAAUAUAAUUAAAGGUCUAAUCUGCCCACUGAAAAUUUUUAAAUGGCCGCAGUAAGUUGACUGUGCAAAGGUAGCAUAAUCAAUAGUUUUUUAAUUAAAAACUAGAAUGAAUGAUUGAACGAAAUAAAAUCUGUCUUUAGAUUAUAAGUUGAAUUUUAUGUUUAAGUUAAAAAGCUUAAAUAAUAUUAAAAGACGAGAAGACCCUAUAGAUCUUUAUAGUAAUUAAUUAUUUUUAUUAAGGAAAUAGAUUAUAUUUUAAUUUAAAAACUAUUUUAUUGGGGUAAUAGAAAGAUUAGUUUAAUUCUUUUUUUUAUAGACAAUUAUUUUUGGUUAGUUGAUCCAUUAUUAAUGAUUAGAAGAUUAAGUUACCUUAGGGAUAACAGCGUAAUUUUUUUUAAGAGUUCAUAUCGAUAAAAAAGUUUGCGACCUCGAUGUUGGAUUAAAAAUUAUUCUAGGUGUAGAAGUUUAGAAUUUUGGUCUGUUCGACCAUUAAAUUUUUACA
rnacentral:rRNA from 1 species